CUUUCUAUAUAAAGGAAGGAGUAGUUUAAUAAUAUUUAUAGAGAGAGUAUAUAUAAUUGAUAACUUGGAAAUAAAACUCUUAAAAUGGGUUUAAAGAAUUCCUUUCUCAUAGUGGUUUUCAUUGUUCUUGCUAUCACUACAACUCUGGAGGGGAGAGCAAAAGAGGCAAGUGACACUUCAAGAACCAUGGAAGUAGAUAAGAAAAAAGAAAUAGGUGCAAUAACUAAUGAAGAUUAUAGUUGGGCUCAAGGACCUAAUAGCGAUUUGAAAGAAAUGGAAGCGCCAACACCAAGUAUGGGCUCCUAGGCAGGGAAUUUGUUGAUUCCAUGGCAGGCAUUGAAGAAAACUCAAUCAAGCAUAUGAGGGUUAUUUUAUGAUUCAAUGUAAUAGUGUUUGAUUUAAUAUAGCUAUAAUACUGUCCUUGACCUAGCCUAUAUAUGUUCUAUUAUAUGGUAUGUGGUGCAUGAAAUAUACUCUUGUAAUAAUGGAAGAUCAAGGCGCGUAUAGCUAUAAAACUGUCCUUGACCUAGCCUAUGUUGUAUUAUUGGUAUGUGGUGCAUGAAAUAUACUCUUGUAAUAAUGGAAGAUCAAGGCGCGUAUAGCUAUAAAACUGUCCUUGACCUAGCCUAUAUAUGUUCUAUUAUAUGG